GCCUCAGUGGAGUAGUGGUAGAGCACGCGUCCCUGGAUAGGAUGAAACGUGGGUUCGAUUCCCUUCUGAGGUCA